GCUUAUGGCCAUACCACCCUGAGUGCACCCGAUCUCGUCUAAUCUCGGAAGCUAAGCAGGGUCGGGCCUGGUUAGUACGUGGAUGGGAGACCGCCUGGGAAUACCAGGUGCUGUAAGCU
rnacentral:rRNA from 12 species